GGGCCGUUAGCUCAGCUGGUAGAGCAGUGGGCUUUUAACCCAACGGUCAUAGGUUCGAUUCCUAUACGGCCCA
rnacentral:tRNA from 1 species